CGAAAAAAGGACAUGGAGUGAAUUAAACAAGUUCUGUACUCAUUAUUGCUUAUGCUGACAUAUCUUGUUGUAAUAUAGAGAGUAAAAGAGAGCUGUGCCUGAAUCCACUGUUGUCACGGAGCUAAAGGCAGUGAAUUCUGCUAAAAUGGUCCGGUUUUGGUAAAGAGUUGGAAACAUCGUGCGGAGAUCCUUUCCACGGAAUGAUACAGAUCCCCACGUUCCAGGCGUUCUCCCAGAGAUUCAUAGAUUCCCAGUCCGGGGGGCUGGGUGGCGAGCCAACCGUGUUUGUGACUCUGACUUUAGACGAAUUGCCAGGAUCAUCAUAUUCAUCUUCAUGGUGGUAGGACAAACACUAACACAAACUAAAAAGGGCCCAACGUUGGUGACUGAACUUUUGUCAACAAAGGCAAGUGAAACUGAGGACGAACUAAGCUCAAGGGAUUUAUUUACGUGCGCACUUUAUUAUUUUAGUUUGUUAUUUUUUUCCAUAACUUUUUUUGUAUAUGUAUGUACCAGCCCAUGUGUGUUUAAUACAUUUUAUGCAAAUUGUCAUUCUGGUGUGGUAUUCUUUUUAUUGACCUUCAAUUCUCAGGCUCUUAACAAUUUAGCAUCUUCUGAUUCUGGUCCAUAUUCAUUUUACUGAUAACCUCUAAGACUACUUUAGACUACUACACCUAUGUACAUUCUUACUACCUCGUAUUAAGGGUUACAUGAGGCCCAGAGCAUACACUCUUCAAAACGGGGAAGAAAUUAUUAUUUUCCUAGCCACAAAGAACAUUAAAGAAAAUGAAGAACUUUUGUUUGAUUAUGUUGUUGAAAGAAGGUCUUUUAUAGGAAAGGGUUUAAACCUCCUUUGGGUAUGAAUGUGUAAAUACAUGUGAAAAUUCGUGUAAAUACUAGUGAAAAAAAAAAUAUGUAGAAUGUGCAUAAAUACGGCCCGUAUUACUUGUUAUCUUCUUUUUUUUUUUUAAUGAAUGAGUUUUUCAAUGUAAAUAAACUUGCCUUGGCUUCUGGCUAGUUUAUAUUAAUAUGCUCACUAGAUAUGUGUCACUAGAUAUAUCACUAAUAUGUGUCACUAGAAUACCGGUGUAAAUGUGAAAAUACUCCUCUUUAAAAAAAAAUUGCAUUUGUAUGAGUGUAUAAAUCAUUUUUGGAACAAGAAUGUAAGUUUACCCUGUAACGAUGUGCUCCCAGUUUAUUUAUUAUUGGUGUGGUUUGGUGUAUAUUGGUUUAUUUCCUAUACAAGAAAGUCUUUUAUAGCAAAUGGGGUUAGACUUCUUUUGGUUAUAAAUGUGUAAAUGCAUGUAUAAAUGUGUGUAAAUACUCCUCUGUAAACAAAAUGUGUAUGUGCAUGAGUGUAUAAAUACAAUUUAUAACAGGAAUUUAAGUUUACACUGUGAAGAUGUGCUCAAAGUUUGUUACUGAUGUAUCGUUAUUCCUUGUAGACUUUCACUCAUAUCACUUAUUAGCUGUCUGUUACUAGCCCUUUGACGAGCUGUGCCUUCCAUGAAAUGCAUCAGCUGCCCAUUAAAAAUGUUGUUGAUGUCACUUGUUGUGACAUUUUUGUUGAUUAGCUAGACAGAAGGAGACCAGAAGUUUUUACUGAAAAUAUCUACCACCAACCUGCACAUACAUGGUUGAUGACCCUGAUUCUGUUACUCGGCUCACAGUCCAGAGCGAGAUCCUGCAGGAUGUCGGGUGGUGAUGAAUUCUGAUGGCUUGCUCUCGGUGUCUUAGGUAGGGAUACGUAGUGCAAGUCCAAACUCAGACACCUUACUGGGUGGCUUAUUCCUGUUCGCAGCGGUCAGGUUGACUUAAAGACAGAAGGACACCAGAAUUUAUUUAAAGGGCUGAAAAGGUCUACCUCUAAUAAACCGUGAGCACAUCUUAGCUAGUGACAAUGCGACAUUUUUCCUAUGAAAUGUCGCAUCUCAAGUGAUCAUCUCAAAAACUAAAUAAUUGCUGAGAUUAAUAGAAAUAAAUUGUUGAAUAUCGA